rnacentral:rRNA from 1 species
GAUGAACGCUAGCGACAGGCUUAACACAUGCAAGUCGAGGGGCAGCAUAAAGAGUAGCUUGCUAUUCUUGGUGGCGACCGGCGCACGGGUGAGUAACGCGUAUGCAACCUGGCUACAACAGGGGAAUAACCCGGAGAAAUUCGGACUAAUACCGCAUAACACACGGGUACCGCAUGGUAUCCAUUGUUAAAGAUUUAUCGGUUGUAGAUGGGCAUGCGUCUGAUUAGCUUGUUGGUAAGGUAACGGCUUACCAAGGCAACGAUCAGUAGGGGUUCUGAGAGGAAGGUCCCCCACACUGGUACUGAGACACGGACCAGACUCCUACGGGAGGCAGCAGUGAGGAAUAUUGGUCAAUGGGCGAGAGCUUGAACCAGCCAAGUCGCGUGCAGGAAGACGGCGCUAUGCGUUGUAAACUGCUUUUGUAAGGGGAUAAAACAUGUCAUGUAUGACGACUUGCAGGUACCUUACGAAUAAGGAUCGGCUAACUCCGUGCCAGCAGCCGCCGUAAUAC